rnacentral:rRNA from 1 species
UCGACCUGAGCUCAGGCAAGAUUACCCGCUGAACUUAAGCAUAUCAAUAAGCGGAGGAAAAGAAACUAACAAGGAUUCCCCUAGUAACGGCGAGCGAACCGGGAAUAGCCCAACUUGGAAAUCUCCCUCGGAGAAUUGUAGUCUAUAGAAGCGCCCUCUGCAGCGGCCGGGUCCCAAGUCCCCUGGAAGGGGGCGUCGUAGAGGGUGAGAACCCCGUCGGACCUUGGUGCGGCUGCCUCACGAGGUGCUUUCGAAGAGUCGGGUUGUUUGGGAAUGCAGCCCAAAGCUGGUGGUAAAUCCCAUCUAAGGCUAAAUAUUGGCGAGAGACCGAUAGCGAACAAGUACCGCGAGGGAAAGAUGAAAAGAACUUUGAAAAGAGAGUUAAAAAGUGCUUGAAAUUGUUGAGGGGGAAGCGAUUGGCAGCUGCGUGUGCACCCAGGCUUACGCCGUUCUAACGAUCGGCUGCAUGCGCUGGGUGUUGGUCAGCAUGGGUUGGCUUGGCAGGAUAAACGCGGGGGUUGUUACUCCGUCUAUGCUGCCGGGCCGACCGAGGCGUGAAGGCCGCUCUUGUCCCUCGGGAUCUGCGGCCUCGAGAUGCUGGCGGAAGGCUUUCAAUCGGCCCGUCUUGAAACACGGACCAAGGAGUCUAACAUGUAUGCGAGCUGGUGGGUGGUAAACCCAUGAGGCGCAAGUAACCUGACUUUGGUGGGAUGGCCGCAAGGCCUGCACCAUCGACCGACCGUGAUCUUCUGUGAAAGGUUCGAGUACGAGCAUACCUGUUGGGACCCGAAAGAUGGUGAACUAUGCCUGAGCAGGGCGAAGCCAGAGGAAACUCUGGUGGAGGCUCGUAGAUGUGCUGACGUGCAAAUCGCUUUUCGGACUUGGGUAUAGGGGCGAAAGACUAAUCGAACCAUCUAGUAGCUGGUUCCCUCCGAAGUUUCCCCCAGGAUAGCUGGAGCUUGUGUGUCAGUUUUAUCGGGUAAAGCUAAUGAUUAGAGGUUCGGGGGAUGAAACAUCUUCCACCUAUUCUCAAACUUUAAAUAGGUAAGACGUGUGAGUUGCUUAACUGAACUCACGCAUUCAAUGAGAGCUCCAAGUGGGCCAUUUUUGGUAAGCAGAACUGGCGAUGCGGGAUGAACCGAUAGUUGGGUUAAGGUGCCGGACUACGCGCUAACCUAGAUCCCACAAAGGGUGUUGAUUGAUACAGACAGCAGGACGGUGGUCAUGGAAGUCGAAAUCCGCUAAGGAGUGUGUAACAACUCACCUGCCGAAUCAAUUAGCCCCGAAAAUGGAUGGCGCUGAAGCGCGUGACCUAUACCCGGCCAUGGGGGCAAGUGCGAGGCUCCCAUGAGUAGGAGGGCGUGGGUGUCGCUGCGCAGCCUGGGGCGUGAGCCCGGGUGAAGCGGCACCUAGUGCAGAUCUUGGUGGUAGUAGCAAAUAUUCAAAUGAGAACUUUGAAGACUGAAGGGGAGAAA